rnacentral:rRNA from 1 species
AAGUCGAACGGUGAAGAGGAGCUUGCUUCUUAGAUCAGUGGCGAACGGGUGAGUAACACGUGAGUAACCUGCCCUUGACUCUGGGAUAACUGCUAGAAAUGGUAGCUAAUACCGGAUACGACCCUCGGCCGCAUGGUCAGGGGGUGGAAAGAAUUUUGGUCAAGGAUGGACUCGCGGCCUAUCAGGUAGUUGGUGAGGUAAUGGCUCACCAAGCCUACGACGGGUAGCCGGCCUGAGAGGGUGACCGGCCACACUGGGACUGAGACACGGCCCAGACUCCUACGGGAGGCAGCAGUGGGGAAUAUUGCACAAUGGGCGAAAGCCUGAUGCAGCAACGCCGCGUGAGGGACGACGGCCUUCGGGUUGUAAACCUCUUUUAGUAGGGAAGAAGCGAAAGUGACGGUACCUGCAGAAAAAGCACCGGCUAACUACGUGCCAGCAGCCGCGGUAAUACGUAGGGUGCAAGCGUUGUCCGGAAUUAUUGGGCGUAAAGAGCUCGUAGGCGGUUUGUCGCGUCUGCUGUGAAAUCCGGAGGCUCAACCUCCGGCCUGCAGUGGGUACGGGCAGACUAGAGUGCGGUAGGGGAGAUUGGAAUUCCUGGUGUAGCGGUGGAAUGCGCAGAUAUCAGGAGGAACACCAAUGGCGAAGGCAGAUCUCUGGGCCGUAACUGACGCUGAGGAGCGGAAAGCAUGGGGAGCGAACAGGAUUAGAUACCCUGGGUACUCCAUGCCGUAAACGUUGGGAAACUAGAUGUGGGGGCCAUUCCACGGUCUCCGUGUCGCACUAC